rnacentral:rRNA from 1 species
AUUCCAGCUCCAAUAGCGUAUAUUAAUGUUGUUGCAGUUAAAAAGCUCGUAGUUGGAUUCCUGGCACGGGGUAGCCGGUCCGCCUUGCAAAAGGUGCGCACUGAGCGGCCUCGGCCAUCCUUGCGAUGGUCUAUCCUGGCAUUCAGUUGUCGGGGUGGGGAUUCGCGACGUUUACUGUGAAAAAUCAGAGUGUUCAACGCAGGCUUACGCCUUGAAUACAUUAGCAUGGAAUAAUGAGAUAGGACCUUGGCGGUCUAUUUUGUUGGUUUGCACGCCGAGGUAAUGAUUAAAAGGGACGGUUGGGGUUCUUCGUAUUCAAUUGUCAGAGGUGAAAUUCUUGGACUUAUGGAAGACGAACUGCUGCGAAAGCGUCGGACAAGGACGUUCUCAUUG